rnacentral:rRNA from 1 species
UACGUAGGAGACGAGCGUUGUCCGGAGUUACUGGGCGUAAAGGGUGCGCAGGCGGCCUGGCGCGUCGCGAGUGAAAUCUCCUGGCUCAACUGGGAGGGUGGUCGCGAGACGGCUGGGCUUGAGGCUCGGUGAGGGGCGUGGAAUUCCGGGUGGAGCGGUGAAAUGCGUAGAGAUCCGGAGGAACACCGACGGCGUAGGCAGCGCCCUAGACGAGA